CAGAAUCAGCAGGGAAAGAAGACCCUGUUGAGCUUGACUCUAGUCCGACUUUGUGAAAUGACUUGAGAGGUGUAGAAUAAGUGGGAGCUCCGGCGCAAGUAAAAUACCACUACUUUUAACGUUAUUUUACUUACUCCGUGAAUCGGAGGCGUGGUAACAACCCCUUCUUUUAGACCCAAGACUCGCUUCCGCGGGUCAAUCCGGGCGGAGGACAUUGUCAGGUGGGGAGUUUGGCUGGGGCGGCACAUCUGUUAAAAGAUAACGGAUGUAAUAACCCUCUUUAAAGAGUAAAACGAAGACAAGGAAAAAUCUUUUAACAGCCGAGAAAAUUACUCAAGUAAGUGGAAGUCGGAUUGAUCUUUUCCUGUGGAUGUUUGUGGAUCCCAAGGUACAUAAGAAAAAUUUAGAAAGUCUUAGAAUAGUUUUCAGUCUGAAGAAAUAAAUUCUUCAGGAUGUUUAGUGGAUUGAAAAUGCUCGCGGUUCGGCCUAGAACGUCCUAGUCGGACGAGAAAAUUAAUCGAAAAUUUAUUAUAAGGCCUUAAGAUAGGAAUGACCUUAGAGUUAUUUUAGAAAUGUUUUGGUCUAAGAAAUCCAGGUUUUUGUCAAGGAGAAAUAUUUCCGCCAGCUCGGAUCAGCUUAUAACACGUUUGGGAUUUAAAUUCGGCCCAUUCGGACCCAUCUACGAUGUCUUAAGCAUAUCCGGAUACUUCUGAAGGAUGCAGCUGCUUGUCUACCUCCUUAAGCAGCUAGACAAGUGUUACUCCUUUACUGGAGAAUCCUCCAACCAGCUCUUGCUUAUGUCCUAUUGGUUGAAUUGGUGGCUGGCCACAAAACUUGUUUUAAUUGGACAGAUUUGUGGCUGCACACCAAUCUCUCUCCAAUUGGUUGCAUGGGGCACCCAUGACAGCUCCUGCUUGUAACCCACGACCUAUACCUUCUCCUGAGCUCAUUCUCCAGCCUAUAAAUAGCAGACCACCCUCUUAGUCAUUUCUCAUGCUUAGAACCCUAACCAUAGCAGCUCGAAAAAGUCGAAACCCUAAGGUAAAAUGUUUUUGUCUUUAGCUUUCUUUUUAUUUAGAUUUUCUUUUUAUUUUUUUUUAUUUUCUUAAUUAGAACUUGGAUAGCCUUUCUUACCCUACCCUUCCUGUAUUUAUCUUUCUAAAGCUCUAGAGUUUUCCGAUAAAAUUUUAAAGUGAAGCCGACCGUGAGAUAGAAGCGUUUCCAGUCCAUAACUUUCAUCUAAGUGUUGAGGUGAGUCUCGGUAAUGGGUUAUGAUUGUUGUGUGUGCGACUAGCGCCUGCAAAACAAGAGUAUUGGUUGAUGCAUUGCUAGGUUGCGCGUUUAGAUAGAUAAUGAUAUGAUAAUGAUUGAUGUUUGUGAAAGAUAUUGAGUUAUAUCGCCGGGCCUCGGUUCGAGGGGUAUAACAUCAUUGUGAUACAUUGAUGUUGUGUUUCAUAUACUUAUGUCAUUGCAUUAUAUUGUUUUGGCCUCGGCUCAGAUAAUAUAACAUGUUUGAUCAUAUCUUAACGGGGAAAACCCGUAAAUCCACGGACUUGAUCCGUGAGAGUCCGACACUCGGGUGGAGUGUCGUGAGAGUCAUUGGUGUCUACUCGAGGACCGUGCCUUGUCCAGGGCCUUACCAAAAUUAGUUCCGGGCAGGACGUGAAGACACGUGUGAUAGGUUGAGCUACCCUCGACCGUGUAGCUGCAUGACAAUGUGGCAAGUGUGUUAUCCGGGCCAUCGGCUUUUUAGAGUUUGUGUUUAGAGUCAAUGGGCGCAAGAAGGGAUGUGUUAUGGACUUCGUAUCGAGAUAGGAACCAAUGGCGAGAGGCAAUCCUCGAUGAUCGAUAAUGAUCUAACCACUCGUGAAGAGUGGAUGCUUGUUUACAUGAUUGCUUUAUUUUUGCAUUGCAUAUUUCUUAAUAUAAUUGAUCAUUGUUGCUUAAUGUUUGAUGCAUAAUGGGGGGAUAAAUAAUUGUUAGGAAACCCGAAUCACUGAGCAAAAUAGUUGCUCAUUAGACUCUUUGUUUUGCAGGUAACCCGUAGUAGUAGGUUCCAUUUGGGAUCGUAGGAGCACAAAGCUGUUGGUGUAGAUUUGCUACCUUUUGCAAACAUGUACGUUUUGUAAUAUGUAAGAUAUGGUUUUGAACAUCGGCCGAGCAUGUAUAAAUUUUGAUGUGGUGAACUUAAAGUAUAUAUGAAUAAAAAAAGGGUUUGUGAAAUGCUUGGAUUCCAUAUGAUACUAGUCCUAGUCCGGGACGAACUAACUAAAGGUUUCAAACUCGGGUUGCAAAGCCUUAACUUGGAAUCGCUAUGAAACCCGUUCUUGGACAUAUGAUCUUAGGAUUUUGGAUCUAAUGUGGGAACCUCGGAUCAAAUGUUCGGGCACGUGGUAGUAGUAUCUUCGAUCUGGUUAGAGUUCUUUAGUUCGUCGUGCAUGUUCUUGUUUGAUUGGUGCAUGGCAAACUAAUUAACUUUUAUUUAUUCUGGAUCGGAGGUGUUACAACGCAGGUGUCCUAAGAUGAGAUCAACGAGAACAGAAAUCUCGUGUGGAACAAAAGGGUAAAAGCUCGUUUGAUUCUGAUUUUCAGUACGAAUAUGAACCGUGAAAGUGUGGCCUAUCGAUCCUUUAGACCUUCUGAAUUUGUGGCAGCCAAGCAUUCAUAGCAACGUUGCUUUUUGAUCCUUCGUUGUCGGCUCUUCCUAUCAUUAUGAAGCAGAAUUCACCAAGUUUUGGAUUGUUCACCCACCAAUAGGGAACGUGAGCUGGGUUUAGACCAUCCUGAGACAGGUUAGUUUUACCCUACUUAUGCCCGCGUCGCAAUUGUAAUUCAACCUAGUACGAGAGGAACCGUUGAUUCGCACAAUUGGUCAUCGCGCUUGGUUGAAAAGCCAGUGGCGCGAAGCUACCGUGCGCUGGAUUAUGACUGAACGCCUCUAAGUCAGAAUCCGGGCUAGAAGCGACGCAUGCGCCCGCCGCCUGAUUGCCGACCCUCAGUAGGAGCUUAGGCUCCCAAAGGCAUGUGUCGUUGGCUAAGUCUGUUCGGCGGAAGCACCAUUCGGACCGCCUUGAAUUAUAAUUACCACCGAGCGGCGGGUAGAAUCCUUUCCAGACGACUUAAAUACGCGACGGGGUGUUGUAAGUGGCAGAGUGGCCUUGCUGCCACGAUCCACUGAGAUUCAGCCCUUUGUCGCUAAGAUUC
rnacentral:ncRNA from 1 species